CACUAUGCCCAGUUGUCAACAUAAACGGUUCAUUACAUUUGUCCGUUCGCCUGGUUACUACGAGCUCAGCAGUUUCAAAGCUUAAAACCCAAAGGACUUGGCGGUGCUUCAAACCCCCCUAGAGGAGCCUGUUCUAUAACCGAUAAUCCCCGUUAAACCUUACCCUUUCUUGUUUUUUCAGCCUAUAUACCGCCGUCACCAGCUCACCCCUUGAGGGCUAAAGAAUGUGGGCUCAAUCGGUAUUCACCCCCAGUAAGACAGGUCGAGGCGUAGCUUAUGAAAGGGAAAGAAAUGGGCUACAUUCCCUAAUUUAGUGAAUACGGAAGAUCACCCUGAAAUAAGGUAUCCGAAGGUGGAUUUAGCAGUAAGAGGGGAAUAGAGUGCCUCUCUGAAGUAGGCAAUGAAGCGUGCACACACCGCCCGUCACUCCCUCCAAGCACUUUCACCUUAAAUUUUAUAAACCAUGAGAAACGCACAGGAGGGGCAAGUCGUAA
rnacentral:rRNA from 1 species